UACGUAGGGUGCGAGCGUUAAUCGGAAUUACUGGGCGUAAAGCGUGCGCAGGCGGUCUGUUAAGACCGAUGUGAAAUCCCCGGGCUUAACCUGGGAACUGCAUUGGUGAAUGGCAGGCUUUGAGUGUGGCAGAGGGAGGUAGAAUUCCACGUGUAGCAGUGAAAUGCGUAGAGAUGUGGAGGAAUACCGAUGGCGAAGGCAGCCUCCUGGGCCAACACUGACGCUCAUGCACGAAAGCGUGGGGAGCAAACAGG
rnacentral:rRNA from 1 species